rnacentral:snRNA from 1 species
UUGCUUCUCGGUGUUUUGGCUAAGAUCAACUGUAGUAU